UGCCUUCUGACCGUGUCUCCAUUUAGGUUUAAGUUUGGGUAUUCACUCCUAGUCUGAGUUAUGUCACAGGGAUAUGUAUCUAUGUGUGAUUCUCUCUGGCCUUGUGACCUGGGGGACCAUGGGCCAAUGUUUUUGGUGGCUUGUUCCUGGUGCUGCCUCUUGGAAGGCUAUUAGACUUAUAUCACGUAUUUUUUCCAAUCUAUCUCUGGCUUCAUCUUCUGCUGCUCUUUCACAGGCUACUAGAUGUGAAGAUUUCCCACGAGGAGCAUUUCUGAGGCUGUCUAUAGCAGUGAUUGAGGCAUCCAGAGGAAUAAAUGAUGAGAGAUACUCAAACCUGCUUUCAUGAAAGGAUGAAGAUCAUCUGCCUCCUGUCAGUGUGUUUCCUGGUGUCGUAUUCCUUUAAAAGAAUUAAUUGCAACUUAAUAAAUGUGCUCUCCAAAUAAAUUGUAUGCUUGAACUAUGCUGUCCUUUUGUACAAAUAAUGAAUGCAACAGAAGUUCUUGCUAUGUAAGGUUAUCAGUAGUAUUAGUGUUUGUUGAAGCAUGAAGAGAUUUUUCAGUUCUUCUCUCAAUUAAAUAUUCUUCUCAACUGGCUGGGACACUAAGAAGUGGAUGAAAUCGAAGUGCUAAAAGAGAAGAGUCAGCAGGAAUUAUAAGAGUUUGAAAUGUAAUGAGAGAGUAGUUUGUUAUGCUUGUCUUGCAUCUCAGCUGCUUCCAUGGGAGGAUAACAAUGACAAGAAUCAGUCUUACUUCCUCCUUGUUUAAAGGCAGCAGCUUUGGAGUCUUCUCAUGUUAUUCAGAUAUCAUCCAAUUAUCGAAGCAGUAGCACUGAGCACUGUCCAGUGGCAUACUGCCUUACUCUGCAGCCAUGUUGCUCGGGUUCUUGUGUACCACUUAGGCAGCCUUUCCCUGAUGCCACUUCUAUUUCCACUGAUAGAUGAUUAGUCUUCUUGAGAACACAUCUUGCAGAUCUCCUUGAGCAAUCUCUUUCUAUGUGUAGAUGGCACUGUCCUCUGUUAACACAAGCAAUAUAGAAACGUUCUGGACCUGAUGAUCCUGUUGAUUCUUCUGCUUUGGUUUGAGUGUCUUGCUUUGACUGUAAAAUAUUCCCCACAUCAAAGGCCACUACUUCCCUACGUGGAGAAAUGGAAAUGGAUAAUUGAUUCUAAUAUUUUCUUGUCUUGUU